CCUACGGGAGGCAGCAGUGAGGAAUAUUGGUCAAUGGACGAGAGUCUGAACCAGCCAAGUAGCGUGAAGGAUGACUGCCCUAUGGGUUGUAAACUUCUUUUAUAUGGGAAUAAAAUGUUUCACGUGUGGGAUUUUGUAUGUACCAUAUGAAUAAGGAUCGGCUAAGUCCGUGCCAGCAGCCGCGGUAAUACGGAGGAUCCGAGCGUUAUCCGGAUUUAUUGGGUUUAAAGGGAGCGUAGGUGGCUUCUUAAGUCAGUUGUGAAAGUUUGCGGCUCAACCGUAAAAUUGCAGUUGAAACUGGGAGUCUUGAGUGCAGUAGAGGUGGGCGGAAUUCGUGGUGUAGCGGUGAAAUGCUUAGAUAUCACGAAGAACUCCGAUUGCGAAGGCAGCUCACUGGACUGCAACUGACACUGAGGCUCGAAAGUGUGGGUAUCAAACAGGAUUAGAUACCCUUGUAGUC
rnacentral:rRNA from 1 species